AUGAGCCUUUUUCAUUUCCUUGGGAUGAAAUUCCCAUAUAGGUGGCGCUGUUGCAGCAACAAAUUUUCCUUUCAGAAUACGAGAAUGAAAACUUGGAGGCAGAGAAACAUGAUUGCAGCUGUUCUGCUGCUGUGUGUUAUUGGAGCACUCUGCUCUGAUGACAUGGGGACGCCAGCCUGUGGAUCCAGUUAUGAGGCAGCAUGUUUGCUACCAGCUGAUUAUCUGAAUCGAUCUGGUCCCAUCAGCAAAGAGUUGGCUGUGGGUAAGAAACUCAUCAUCUCCCUGGAGGGCCUCUCUGGAUCUCCUGUCUGCCACUGGAUCAGAGGAAAAGACCGAGUAAUGACAGCCAGAAAUGUGAGUCAGUCCAUGGUCACACCACUGCUUUCUGAGACAGAUUCAGGGGGGUACACUCUGACCUGUGACUCCAACAAUGCCCCCAUGUUCUCCACGACUGUGAUUCUUCAUGUGGUAAUGAAACGUCCAACAAAACCACAGCUGAUGCUCGAUGGUGUUGACGUGUCAGAUACUUCCCCCCUUUUUAAGUGUGUCUCUGAGGGUUUCCCAAAUCCCACAAUUAAAUGGUCUGGGUAA
ensembl:lncRNA